rnacentral:misc_RNA from 1 species
AACGCAUAUUGCGCCCUCUGGUAUUCCGGGGGGCAUGCCUGUUCGAGCGUCAUUAAAAAAUAUUCAAGCAUAGCUUGGUUUUGGGCUUUCAUCCCUCUUUUUUAUAAGGGGAUGGGCCUAAAAAUCAGUGGCGAUACCUGUAUAUCUCUGGCUUCAAAACGUAGUAAAAAAAUCUCGUCUUAGGCUCAGUGUUAAAAAAUGUAUCUGCCAAAAAAAAAUUGCCCUUUAAAAGUUGACCUCGAAUCAGGUAGGAGUACCCGCUGAACUUAA